GGUCUAAUAGUGUAGAGGUUAUCACACGGGAUUUUGACGAGUGAUUUACUUCCCGUAACCCAGGUUCGAGUCCUGGUUAGACCU
rfam:Lentinula edodes NBRC 111202 DNA, contig: scaffold28.